rnacentral:lncRNA from 1 species
UGAGUUUGCUUUCAAAGAAGUUGUAGCUAUGCACCACCUGAUCCAAGGUUUUGAGAACGGGUCUUGGAUGGAUUAGUUGGAUUACAUGAUGCUCUUUGCUCGCGGCGGUACCAAACGUAGGCGGCGUAAACAUUCGCGAGCCGCUUAAAUUAUAUGACGUGUCAAACAGAAGACUGUUCGAUUUGUCAUAGGUCACGUGUCACCCUUUUGUAUCUGAUAUCCGCCACGUAGGAUAAUAGUUUCUCCGCUUACGUGGACUUUUCAAGCCUUCUGGUCUGUCCGGAAAAUAAGUUGUUUUAUGCCAAC